GUGGCUUCAAUCAGAUGGGGUGGUUAGUUUGCUGGUAAUUACAACCACAUUUGUCAGUGAACCAAAAAAACGUACUAAGUGAAAAAGCACCCAGUUGUGCAAUAUCCAUCUGCACGGACAGCCGUGCUAAAUAAAAAUAUUUUGGAAACAGAGAAAUUCUUAUUUAACCACUUAAACAUAUCAAACUGGAAAAACUGCUGAUCUCCAAAAUGACGUUCCAAUCUGAAUCCUAAGGCUGUCACCAAAACCUCACUGCUUUUAAUACGUGAGAAUUCAAGUAAAAAUAUCUGGUGCUGAAGUGAAUAAUUAAUGGGGAAUGGCAGCAGGAGUGAACUUACUUCCAGCCUCCAUGAAAGCUUCAGGAAGGUAAGU